CCGAACCGACUAAUGUUGAAAAAUUAGCGGAUGACCUGUGGCUGGGGGUGAAAGGCCAAUCAAACCGGGAGAUAGCUGGUUCUCCCCGAAAGCUAUUUAGGUAGCGCCUCGUGAAUUCAUCUCCGGGGGUAGAGCACUGUUUCGGCUAGGGGGCCAUCCCGGCUUACCAACCCGAUGCAAACUGCGAAUACCGGAGAAUGUUAUCACGGGAGACACACGGCGGGUGCUAACGUCCGUCGUGAAGAGGGAAACAACCCAGACCGCCAGCUAAGGUCCCAAAGUCAUGGUUAAGUGGGAAACGAUGUGGGAAGGCCCAGACAGCCAGGAUGUUGGCUUAGAAGCAGCCAUCAUUUAAAGAAAGCGUAAUAGCUCACUGGUCGAGUCGGCCUGCGCGGAAGAUGUAACGGGGCUAAACCAUGCACCGAAGCUGCGGCAGCGACACUGUGUGUUGUUGGGUAGGGGAGCGUUCUGUAAGCCUGUGAAGGUGUGUCGUGA
rnacentral:rRNA from 1 species